GAGGAGCCAGCGGCGGAUUAGCUUGUUGGUGGGGUAAUGGCUCACCAAGGCUCCGAUCCGUAGCUGGUCUGAGAGGACGAUCAGCCACACUGGGACUGAGACACGGCCCAGACUCCUACGGGAGGCAGCAGUGGGGAAUCUUGCGCAAUGGGCGAAAGCCUGACGCAGCGACGCCGCGUGCGGGAAGAAGGCCUUCGGGUUGUAAACCGCUUUCAGGAGGGACGAAGCCACUCGGGUUAAUAGCCCAGAGGGUGACGGUACCUCCAGAAGAAGCCCCGGCUAACUACGUGCCAGCAGCCGCGGUAAUACGUAGGGGGCUAGCGUUGUCCGGAUUUAUUGGGCGUAAAGAGCGUGUAGGCGGCCAGGUAGGUCUGCUGUGAAAACUCGAGGCUUAACCUCGAGAUGUCGGCGGAAACCAUCUGGCUAGAGUCCGGAAGAGGAGAGUGGAAUUCGCGGUGUAGCGGUGAAAUGCGCAGAUAUCAGGAAG
rnacentral:rRNA from 1 species